CUGUUUCAACUAAAUCUGGACUUAUAUAAUGAACAUGAGUGUCUAUUCCACCAGCUGUUAAAAUAAGCCCCUCACCAGCUAAUGCCUCUGUACUAACACCAACUAUAAAGUCAACAUUAUCCAUUCCAUGAGGAUUUCCACCUUUACCAAUAGCAGCUAUUUUACCAUCUUUUAUACCAAUAUCUGCUUUAUAUAUUCCUGUAUAAUCAACAACGGUAACACCUGUUAUUAUAAGGUCGACAACUAAUGGAUUCUUUCUAGUCUCAAUAGAGUUUUGACCCAUUCCAUCUCUUAA
rfam:Clostridium ventriculi strain 2789STDY5834858 genome assembly, contig: SCcontig000006